GCUCCGAUAGCCCAAUGGCUAGAGCGCUUGACUUCCGAUCUAGUGGGCUAGGGUUCGAGUCCCUGUCGGAACG